AGUCGUGGAGAUACUAGGGCCGUAACAGUAAUGCACGUGCGAUCUGAGCCAAUCCCACACGCGGGACCCACCCCCCGUCCCUAAUCACCAAACCGAUGCCAACAGAAAUCGUUUUUAAGGUCGCCGGGCUGUCAAGGUAGUCAAAGUGCCAAACAGAACGGGUCACAAGACUCGCACGAAUAAACAACACAACACAACACAACCUUUGUCCACCGGCCCCAGAUCAUCCCUGCGGACUGCGGCCCAGAUAGCCCGCUUCCAGGAAACUUAGGCC
rnacentral:lncRNA from 1 species